CGUUUCCGUAGUUCGUUGCAACCAUAGGGGCAGUCCUAGCUGCUUACUGAAUCACAUGCAUCAGCGUUCGGCGACGGGCAGCAGCGACUAGUCCUCGAGUCCUCGACUCACCUGUCUCCCUUGGCCUCUUCCUUUUGUGCUUCUCCGUUCAACUCUCUCUUCUAUGCUACCUUCAACAAUUAUUUAACCCAACUGCUUCGUCCAUUAACAAACCCACCACUAGAUUUUUUUGAGUGACAAAGCCAGAGAUGUGGAGGUUCGUUGCGCGUGGCCUUCGCCUUCCUCCUUUUUCUAAGAAAUCCAUCUCUAAUGACUCUCUUAGAACUCACAUUUCCAGAUUUGUCUCUACUGAAUCGACUGGGGGGCGAUCCUCAUACACCAUUGUUGAUCAUACAUAUGAUGCAGUGGUCGUAGGAGCAGGUGGUGCCGGGUUGAGAGCUGCCAUAGGACUCUCAGA
rnacentral:misc_RNA from 1 species